UGGGGGAUAUUGCACAAUGGGGGAAACCCUGAUGCAGCGACGCCGCGUGAGUGAAGAAGUAUUUCGGUAUGUAAAGCUCUAUCAGCAGGGAAGAUGAUGACGGUACCUGACUAAGAAGCCCCGGCUAACUACGUGCCAGCAGCCGCGGUAAUACGUAGGGGGCAAGCGUUAUCCGGAUUUACUGGGUGUAAAGGGAGCGCAGGCGGUUCGGCAAGUCUGAUGUGAAAACCCGGGGCCCAACCCCGGGACUGCAUUGGAAACUGCCGGGCUGGAGUGUGGGAGAGGCAGGCGGAAUUCCUAGUGUAGCGGUGAAAUGCGUAGAUAUUAGGAGGAACACCAGUGGCGAAGGCGGCCUGCUGGACCAAGACUGACGCUGAGGCUCGAAAGCGUGGGGAGCAAACAGGAUUAGAUACCC
rnacentral:rRNA from 1 species